rnacentral:rRNA from 1 species
UACAGAGGCCUCAAGCGUUGUUCGGAAUUACUGGGCGUAAAGGGAGUGUAGGUGGUGACGUAAGUCAGAUGUGAAAGCCCUGGGCUUAACCUGGGAAGUGCAUUUGAUACUGCGUUGCUAGAGUGUGUGAGAGGAAAGCGGAAUUCCAGGUGUAGGGGUGAAAUCCGUAGAUAUCUGGAGGAAUACCGAUGGCGAAGGCAGCUUUCUGGCACAUAACUGACACUGAGACUCGAAAGCAUGGGUAGCAAACAGG